rnacentral:rRNA from 1 species
GACGAACGCUGGCGGCGUGCUUAACACAUGCAAGUCGAACGGAAAGGCCCUGCUUUUGUGGGGUGCUCGAGUGGCGAACGGGUGAGUAACACGUGAGUAACCUGCCCUUGACUUUGGGAUAACUUCAGGAAACUGGGGCUAAUACCGGAUAGGAGCUCCUGCUGCAUGGUGGGGGUUGGAAAGUUUCGGCGGUUGGGGAUGGACUCGCGGCUUAUCAGCUUGUUGGUGGGGUAGUGGCUUACCAAGGCUUUGACGGGUAGCCGGCCUGAGAGGGUGACCGGCUGCAUUGUGGGGGAGAGCCGGCGCGGAGACGGCGGGGAGGAGGAGGGGGGGAAUAUGGCACGGGGGGCGGAAGCCUGCUGCAGCAGCGGCGGGGGCGGGAGGGCGGCCCUCGGGCUGUAACCCGCGUGGGACGGUGGGGAGGGGGGGGGGACGGUAAAGGGAAAAGAAGGACCGGCUAACGGCGUGCCAGCAGCGGCGUUAAUAAGCGGAAGCGCACCCGUCUGAAC